UAAGACGAACCGUCCAAACGUUAUUCGGAAUCACUGGGCUUAAAGGGUGCGUAGGCGGUCCGGUAAGUUGGGUGUGAAAUCCCUCGGCUCAACCGAGGAAUUGCGCUCAAAACUGCCGGACUCGAGGGAGACAGAGGCGAGCGGAACUUGCGGUGGAGCGGUGAAAUGCGUUGAUAUCGCAAGGAACACCAGUAGCGAAAGCGGCUCGCUGGGUCUCUUCUGACGCUCAGGCACGAAAGCCAGGGGAGCGAACGGGAUUAGAUACCCCGGUAGUCCUGGCUGUAAACGAUGAGCACUGGGUUGGAGGCUCCUCCAUAGGCUUCCAGCCGUAGCGAAAGUGUUAAGUGCUCCGCCUGGGGAGUAUGGUCGCAAGGCUG
rnacentral:rRNA from 1 species